AUUGAACGCUGGCGGCAUGCCUUACACAUGCAAGUCGAACGGCAGCACGGGAGCAAUCCUGGUGGCGAGUGGCGAACGGGUGAGUAAUAUAUCGGAACGUGCCCAGUCGUGGGGAUAACGUAGCGAAAGCUACGCUAAUACCGCAUACGAUCUAUGGAUGAAAGCGGGGGAUCGCAAGACCUCGCGCGAUUGGAGCGGCCGAUAUCAGAUUAGGUAGUUGGUGAGGUAAAGGCUCACCAAGCCGACGAUCUGUAGCUGGUCUGAGAGGAUGAUCAGCCACACUGGGACUGAGACACGGCCCAGACUCCUACGGGAGGCAGCAGUGGGGAAUAUUGGACAAUGGGCGCAAGCCUGAUCCAGCAAUGCCGCGUGCAGGAUGAAGGCCUCGGUU
rnacentral:rRNA from 1 species